rnacentral:rRNA from 1 species
GCUAGCGUUGUUCGGAAUUACUGGGCGUAAAGCGCACGUAGGCGGCUUUGUAAGUUAGAGGUGAAAGCCCGGAGCUCAACUCCGGAAUUGCCUUUAAGACUGCAUCGCUCGAAUCAUGGAGAGGUGAGUGGAAUUCCUGGUGUAGCGGUGAAAUGCGCAGAUAUCAGGAGGAACACCAAUGGCGAAGGCAGCUCACUGGGACGGUAUUGACGCUGAGACGCGAAAGCGUGGGGAGCAAACAGG